UACGAAGGGGGCUAGCGUUGCUCGGAAUCACUGGGCGUAAAGGGUGCGUAGGCGGGUCUUUAAGUCAGGGGUGAAAUCCUGGAGCUCAACUCCAGAACUGCCUUUGAUACUGAGGAUCUUGAGUUCGGGAGAGGUGAGUGGAACUGCGAGUGUAGAGGUGAAAUUCGUAGAUAUUCGCAAGAACACCAGUGGCGAAGGCGGCUCACUGGCCCGAUACUGACGCUGAGGCACGGAAAGCGUGGGAGCAAACAGGG
rnacentral:rRNA from 1 species